GAAUUUCCUAGGGGGCGUCAAAGCCUACCGAAGAAUAUCAAACUCCGAAUGCCAUGUAGAUGAUUCUCGGGAGUCAGACUGCACGAGAUAAGUUGGGUGGUCAAAAGGGAAAGAGCCCAGACCUGCAGCUAAGGUCCCCAAGUUGGUGUUAAGUGGAAAAGGAUGUGGGAUUUCCAAAACAGCUAGGAUGUUGGCUUAGAAGCAGCCAUACAUUUAAAGAGUGCGUAAUAGCUCACUAGUCGAGAGGUCCUGCGCCGAAAAUGUCCGGGGCUGAAACACCACACCGAAGCUCAGGAAUCACACUUAUGUGUGAUUGGUAGAGGAGCAUUGCAUACGGAAUGAAGCAGUACCGAUAAGGAGCUGUGGACUGUAUGGAAGAGAGAAUGCCGGAAUGAGUAGCGAGAAUGAAGUGAGAAUCUUCAUGGCCGAAUAUCCAAGGUUUCCGGGGUAAAGCUGAUCUGCCCCGGGUAAGUCGGGACCUAAGGCGAGGCUUAAGUGCGUAGCCGAUGGACAACAGGUUUAGAUUCCUGUACUUCCCAUGAACAGAACUGUGGGGACACAGCAGACGGAGCGCGAGCCGGAAAAGGAAAGUCCGGCGCAAGCGGUGAGUGUGUCAGGAGGCAAACCCCCUGUAUAAACACAAGCCGUGAUGCGGAGCGAAAUACAAGUAGCGAAGAGUGCCGAGCCGCUGUCGAGAAAAGCCGCUAUUGUUUUGUGGGAACCCGUACCGUAAACCGACACAGGUGGAUGAGGAGAGAAUCCUAAGGCCGGCGGGAGAAGCAUUGUUAAGGAACUCGGCAAAAUGACCCCGUAACUUCGGGAGAAGGGGUGCCUGCAGAGCUAUCUGCAGGCCGCAGAGAACUGGCCCAAGCAACUGUUUAACAAAAACACAGGUUUAUGCAAAACCGAAAGGUGAAGUAUAUGAGCUGACGCCUGCCCGGUGCUGGAAGGUUACGAGGAGAUGUUAGAGCAAUCGAAGCAUUGAAUUUAAGCCCCAGUAAACGGCGGCCGUAACUAUAACGGUCCUAAGGUAGCGAAAUUCCUUGUCGGGUAAGUUCCGACCCGCACGAAAGGCGUAAUGAUUUGGGCACUGUCUCGACAAUGCACCCGGUGAAAUUGAAAUACCAGUGAAGAUGCUGGUUACCCGCGCCAGGACGGAAAGACCCCAUGGAGCUUUACUCCAGUUUGAUGCUGGGAUUCGGUACUGCAUGUACAGGAUAGGCGGGAGACUAGGAAGAUAUAACGCCAGUUGUAUCAGAGUCGCUGUUGGGAUACCGCCCUUGUAGUACUGGGUUUCUAACCUGCCACCGUGAACCGGUGGAGGGACAACGUCAGGCGGGGAGUUUGACUGGGGCGGUCGCCUCCGAAAGGGUAUCGGAGGCGCUCAAAGGUUCCCUCAGAAUGGUUGGAAACCAUUCGAAGAGUGCAAAGGCAGAAGGGAGCUUGACUGCGAGGUCGACGGACCGAGCAGGUACGAAAGUAGGACUUAGUGAUCCGGUGGUAGAAAGUGGGAUUGCCAUCGCUCAACGGAUAAAAGCUACCCUGGGGAUAACAGGCUAAUCACUCCCAAGAGUUCACAUCGACGGAGUGGUUUGGCACCUCGAUGUCGGCUCA
rnacentral:rRNA from 1 species